UCAUAUGCUUGUCUCAAAGAUUAAGCCAUGCAUGUCUAAGUACAAGCCUCACUAAGGUGAAACCGCGAAUGGCUCAUUAAAUCACACCUAAUCUACUGGAUAGUUAACAGUUACUUGGAUAACUGCGGUAAUUCUGGAGCUAAUACAUGCACAAAGCCCCGAACUUACGUGAGGGGCGCUUUUAUUAGAUCAAAACCAAACGGCUUCGGCUGUUCUCUUGGUGACUCUGAAUAACUUUGGGCUGAUCGCAUAGCCUAGCGCUGGCGACAUAUCCUUCGAAGGUGUGCCCUAUCAACUGUCGACUGUGGCAUAGACGCCCACAGUGGUUUUGACGGGUAACGGGGAAUCAGGGUUCGAUUCCGGAGAGGGAGCCUUAAAAACGGCUACCACAUCUAAGGAAGGCAGCAGGCACGCAAAUUACCCAAUGACCGAAGGUCGAGGUAGUGACGAAAAAUAACGAUACGGGACUCAUCUGAGGCCCCGUAAUCGGAAUGAGUACACUUUAAAACCGUCCCCGAGGAUCUAUUGGAGGGCAAGUCUGGUGCCAGCAGCCGCGGUAAUUCCAGCUCCAAUAGCGUAUAUUAAAGUUGUUGUGGUUAAAAAGCUCGUAGUUGGAUCUCGGCGGUCUGAGGGCGGUUCACUUGCUAGUGCUACUGCCCUAUAGACC
rnacentral:rRNA from 1 species